CAUCAUGUAUCUUAUCUAAAAUUUUAAAUUUUUGUGCAUGCAUUAACACCUAACACGGAAGUUAGAAAACCACAAUAAUCAAGUUCAUUCACCUAAGCAAAAACAUUUAACUUGCACACUAUAAAAAUCCCUACCAUCCCAUUCAUUGUUCAUAUAAGCAUAAACAUACAACCUUCCAGAAACAUUCAGCCACAUGAAUGAGGAGAAUUAAGUUUUCGUUAGAUUCCAUUUUUUCAGAAAAUUGCAUCCAGUCAUGCCUUUAUUGUUUCAUCCCCAUCAGUGUAUAUUCUGUAACAUUUAUCUUAUAUAUAUGCUUUCGAGUUCAAAAAUUGUAUUGAGUUACUUUUUAUUUGUGGCAUGAAGGACUCAUGAUCAUUUCUUGAGAGAAGAGUUACUGGAUUACGUAGAGUAAGGAUACUAAACAAAAAUGAUGUCGAAGAUUUCACAGACUAUACAUGGGGAUACCAGCUAAUUCCAUGCAAUAAUUUCAUGGAGGUUGGGCUGUCAGGAGAGAAAUUAAAUAUUCACACAAAACAAGGGUCAAGUAAUAUUCAAUGGAGAAGGUUUGGAAACUCUAAUCAUCAAAGACUCACAUGGUACAAGACUCAAUUUGAUGCACCCAAAGGAAAUGACCCUGUUGCAUUAAACCUUGGUUCUAUGGGAAAAGGGGAAGCUUGGGUUAAUGGACAAAGUAUUGGGCAAUAUUGGGUCUCAUUUCU